rnacentral:rRNA from 1 species
UAAGGAAUAUUGGACAAUGGUGGCAACACUGAUCCAGCCAUGCCGCGUGAAGGAUGAAGGCCCUAUGGGUUGUAAACUUCUUUUAUAUGAUAAAAAACCACUUUACGUGUAAAGUGCUGAUUGUCGUAAGAAUAAGGGUCGGCUAACUCCGUGCCAGCAGCCGCGGUAAUACGGAGGACCCAAGCGUUAUUCGGAUUUAUUGGGUUUAAAGGGUGCGUAGGCGGAUUAGUAAGUCAGAGGUGAAAGCCCACAGCUUAACUGUGGAACUGCCUUUGAUACUGCUAACCUUGAGUGCAGAUGAUGUGGGCGGAAUAUGACAUGUAGCGGUGAAAUGCUUAGAUAUGUCAUAGAACACCGAUUGCGAAGGCAGCUCACAAAACUGUAACUGACGCUGAGGCAC